GACGAACCGAGCGAACGUUGUUCGGAAUCACUGGGCUUAAAGGGCGCGUAGGCGGGCUGCCGCGUCCGGGGUGAAAUCCUCCGGCUCAACCGGGGAAGGGCCUCGGAUACGGGCAGACUAGAGUGCGGUAGGGGAGACUGGAAUUCCUGGUGUAGCGGUGAAAUGCGCAGAUAUCAGGAGGAACACCGGUGGCGAAGGCGGCAUCCUGGACCAAUACUGCGCUGAGGAGCGAAAGCCAGGGGAGCAAACGGG
rnacentral:rRNA from 1 species